GCGUGUGUGUGUGUGUGUGUGUGUGUGUGUGUGUGUGUGUGUGUGCGCGUGCGCGAUCUUGCCGCAUAUUCAUAC
rnacentral:miRNA from 1 species